AACAUCGCCUCUUGACCAAUUAUAAGAGGUCCAGCCUGCCCAGUGACAUAGUUUAACGGCCGCGGUACCCUAACCGUGCAAAGGUAGCAUAAUCACUUGUUCUCUAAAUAGGGACUCGUAUCAAUGGCAUCACGAGGGCUGUACUGUCUCCUUUCUCCAAUCAGUGAAACUGAUCUCCCCGUGAAGAAGCGGGGAUUGACCUAUAAGACGAGAAGACCCCAUGGAGCUUUAAACCCAAUACACACCCCCUACGCACUCAAAUCAACAUAGCCCAAGAAAAUUGUGUAUCGGUUUUAGGUUGGGGGGACCGCGGAGUAAAAUCAAACCUCCACGACAGACGGAUUAAUACCCUUAUCCACGAACUACAAUUCUAAGAACCAAUAAAUUGUUGUCUAAUGACCCAAUUACUUGAUCAACGAACCAAGUUACCCUGGGGAUAACAGCGCAAUCUACUUCAAGAGCCCCUAUCGACAAGUAGGUUUACGACCUCGAUGUUGGAUCAGGGUAUCCUAGUGGUGCAGCCGCUACUAAAGGUUCGUUUGUUCAACGAUUAAAACCCUACGUGAUCUAUCUAGUGACCCAAUUACUUGAUCAACGAACCAAGUUACCCUGGGGAUAACAGCGCAAUCUACUUCAAGAGCCCCUAUCGACAAGUAGGUUUACGACCUCGAUGUUGGAUCAGGGUAUCCUAGUGGUGC
rnacentral:rRNA from 1 species